GUAACAAGGUUUCCGUAGGUGAACCUGCGGAAGGAUCAUUAAAGAUUAUGAAUGAAUAGAUUACUGGGGGAAUCGUCUGAACAAGGCCUGCGCUUAAUUGCGCGGCCAGUUCUUGAUUCUCUGCUAUCAGUUUUCUAUUUCUCAUCCUAAACACAAUGGAGUUUUUUCUCUAUGAACUACUUCCCUGGAGAGCUCGUCUCUCCAGUGGACAUAAACACAAACAAUAUUUUGUAUUAUGAAAAACUAUUAUACUAUAAAAUUUAAUAUUCAAAACUUUCAACAACGGAUCUCUUGGUUCUCGCAUCGAUGAAGAACGCAGCGAAUUGCGAUAUGUAUUGUGAAUUGCAGAUUUUCGUGAAUCAUCAAAUCUUUGAACGCACAUUGCGCCCUCUGGUAUUCCAGGGGGCAUGCCUGUUUGAGCGUCAUUUCUCUCUCAAACCUUUGGGUUUGGUAGUGAGUGAUACUCGUCUCGGGUUAACUUGAAAGUGGCUAGCCGUUGCCAUCUGCGUGAGCAGGGCUGCGUGUCAAGUCUAUGGACUCGACUCUUGCACAUCUACGUCUUAGGUUUGCGCCAAUUCGUGGUAAGCUUGGGUCAUAGAGACUCAUAGGUGUUAUAAAGACUCGCUGGUGUUUGUCUCCUUGAGGCAUACGGCUUUAACCAAAACUCUCAAAGUUUGACCUCAAAUCAGGUAGGAGUACCCGCUGAACCUAAGCAUAUCA
rnacentral:misc_RNA from 1 species